rnacentral:rRNA from 1 species
CACAUCGCUUGACGAGUGGCGGACGGGUGAGUAAUGCUUGGGAACUUGCCUUUGCGAGGGGGAUAACAGUUGGAAACGACUGCUAAUACCGCAUAAUGUCUUCGGACCAAACGGGGCUUAGGCUCCGGCGCAAAGAGAGGCCCAAGUGAGAUUAGCUAGUUGGUAGGGUAACGGCUUACCAAGGCGACGAUCUCUAGCUGUUCUGAGAGGAAGAUCAGCCACACUGGGACUGAGACACGGCCCAGACUCCUACGGGAGGCAGCAGUGGGGAAUAUUGCACAAUGGGGGAAACCCUGAUGCAGCCAUGCCGCGUGUGUGAAGAAGGCCUUCGGGUCGUAAAGCACUUUCAGUUGUGAGGAAAAGUUGGUAGUUAAUACCUGCUAGCCGUGACGUUAACAACAGAAGAAGCACCGGCUAACUCCGUGCCAGCAGCCGCGGUAAUACGGAGGGUGCGAGCGUUAAUCGGAAUUACUGGGCGUAAAGCGCACGCAGGCGGUUUGUUAAGCUAGAUGUGAAAGCCCCGGGCUCAACCUGGGAUGGUCAUUUAGAACUGGCAGACUANAGUCUUGGAGAGGGGAGUGGAAUUCCAGGUGUAGCGGUGAAAUGCGUANAUAUCUGGAGGAACAUCAGUGGCGAAGGCGACUCCCUGGCCAAAGACUGACGCUCAUGUGCGAAAGUGUGGGUAGCGAACAGGAUUAGAUACCCUGGUAG